rnacentral:rRNA from 1 species
CCUACGGGAGGCUGCAGUGGGGAAUAUUGGACAAUGGGGGCAACCCUGAUCCAGCCAUGCCGCGUGUGUGAAGAAGGCCCUCGGGUUGUAAAGCACUUUCAGUGAGGAAGAACGCCUGGUGGUUAAUACCCAUCAGGAAAGACAUCACUCACAGAAGAAGCACCGGCUAACUCCGUGCCAGCAGCCGCGGUAAUACGGAGGGUGCGAGCGUUAAUCGGAAUUACUGGGCGUAAAGCGCGCGUAGGUGGCUUGAUAAGCCGGUUGUGAAAGCCCCGGGCUCAACCUGGGAACGGCAUCCGGAACUGUCAAGCUAGAGUGCAGAAAAGGAAGGUAGAAUUCCCGGUGUAGCGGUGAAAUGCGUAGAGAUCGGGAGGAAUACCAGUGGCGAAGGCAGCCUUCUGGACUGACACUGACACUGAGGUGCGAAAGCGUGGGUAGCGAACAGGAUUAGAUACCCCGGUAGUC